CCUACGGGUUGCAGCAGUGGGGAAUAUUGCGCAAUGGGGGCAACCCUGACGCAGCCAUGCCGCGUGAAUGAAGAAGGCCUUCGGGUUGUAAAGUUCUUUCGGUAGCGAGGAAGGCAUUUAGUUUAAUAGACUAGGUGAUUGACGUUAACUACAGAAGAAGCACCGGCUAACUCCGUGCCAGCAGCCGCGGUAAUACGGAGGGUGCGAGCGUUAAUCGGAAUAACUGGGCGUAAAGGGCACGCAGGCGGUGACUUAAGUGAGGUGUGAAAGCCCCGGGCUUAACCUGGGAAUUGCAUUUCAUACUGGGUCGCUAGAGUACUUUAGGGAGGGGUAGAAUUCCACGUGUAGCGGUGAAAUGCGUAGAGAUGUGGAGGAAUACCGAAGGCGAAGGCAGCCCCUUGGGAAUGUACUGACGCUCAUGUGCGAAAGCGUGGGGAGCAAACAGGAUUAGAUACCCUAGUAGUC
rnacentral:rRNA from 1 species